AGUGCCACUGGGGAAGGAUCUCUUUUUGGCUAUCCUUCUUCUGUGGAGUCUUUCUUGUGAACCUGGAUCUUUGGACGUAGGGAGUCUGCCUGUGGUUAUUGUACCAUCCUGGCUUGUUGACUGGACCUGCAUGCUGCUGUGAGGAUGAGAUGGUUGCCUAGUCUAUUCUACUGUUGCUAUUGCUCCUGCUUUGCCACCCUGGGACUUGUGGUCCCUGUCAGGAAAAUCCAAAAUGCUCACAAAUUCCUUACUAUUCUUCAUUUUUGGAAAGAAGAGAAAUAUUUCCCAACUGCCCAGUUCAAGUGUGGUAGUUUUGUGGUGUAGUUCUUCUGGAAGAGAGCUUAGGUCCUACAAGAUAAUCCUCCUCCCUUAUUACAUUACAAAGGAGUAGGUCUCAUCAAGUUUAGAGUAAUAGAUGAAAACCAGCAGCAAAACUGGGUGAAAACACUGGAACUUUGGGUGUGGAUUUCUGCUGAAUUUUUUGCAUUAGUUAGGUGGUGUUUUUCUAUCUUUUCCACUGAACAUCUCUUCCCAAGAGAUUACUGACAUUAGUAAUCUUGAGUAAUCAGCUGCAUCUUUCUUUCCUGGGUACUGGAAAAUUCCAGCAGUAAUAAUCAGUUCUACCUCAAACAUCCCAAUUUUUGUGUGGUGCUUAAAUCAUUUGGAACUGUUUUCUACAGUCUUUUUUUAUCUUAAGUAUCUGCAAAAAAAAGCAAAUUCUUAAUUUAGGUACUUAUAGCAAGAAAUAUGCUACACUGUGACGAGAACACAGGAUAGUACUUCUACCAGUUUGCUCUGUUUUUCUAGUUAAAAGGAUCAGUAGGUUAUGUGCUGGGGAAAACCUUUGCUAUCCUACCUGCUUUUUCUGCUCUUCUACAUCCCUCUGUAUUAUUUGUGGUUCUUUGGCUCCCUCUUAACAAUCAUAGAGGAUAGGAAAUGCCAAAUCAGACAUUGUUGAAAAGAGGCAGCUGUGGGGACAGACAGCAGGAACAUGGGAAAGGGGUAAAGUACACUGUUAAAAACAAGGCCAGCUUCAGUCUAGGUGUGUAUAAUGCCAUGCCUUUCUUUCACUCUCCAACAAAGUCCUUAUUAACAGGUUUUUUAAUGCUAAUCCUUAUCAAAGUCUAAAAUCUAUGCUUGCUAUGGUAGUGCUGGAGUGACUUUAACAACUUUUAAUGCCUUGACCUGUUUUGUGUGGAUACAACCAUUCUGUCAUGCAAUAAAUUUAAGAAAUAGGACCUAAUUUCUUACUGUGAUUUAGCUGUUGCAAAGAGAAACAUAGUACUAUUUCCAAAGUUUCCAGAUAAAUUAUUUUAUUUUAAAUUUCAGUAGAAUCUGCUGCAUUCUUGGUUUUAACUUAUGACUCCAUGUCCUGGUUUAAAUUUGGGUUUCUGUUUGCAUUUGCUCCUAUGUUUAUGAGUAUGUACAGGUUGUGUCUGUAAUUGCCUUAGAUAGCUGUUGUUGGCUGUUUGGAAAUACUUAAAAGAGACAGAGUCAUGCUCUGUUCAAAAUUACACUGGCAGAAAGUGGCAUUUUUCUGUUAAUUUUAUGCUGACUUCAGGCUUUGGAUUCAGGCCUAAAUUUGCAUGCAAAAUGUAAGUGCACGAAUCAUAUCUCUGUUUAAAAAUUAAACCUUGGAUAUAUAAUAAAAAAUUUAGAUGUUUAGUAGCUAG